UGGGGAAUAUUGCACAAUGGGCGCAAGCCUGAUGCAGCCAUGCCGCGUGUAUGAAGAAGGCCUUCGGGUUGUAAAGUACUUUCAGCGGGGAGGAAGGUGUUGAGGUUAAUAACCUCAGCAAUUGACGUUACCCGCAGAAGAAGCACCGGCUAACUCCGUGCCAGCAGCCGCGGUAAUACGGAGGGUGCAAGCGUUAAUCGGAAUUACUGGGCGUAAAGCGCACGCAGGCGGUCUGUCAAGUCGGAUGUGAAAUCCCCGGGCUCAACCUGGGAACUGCAUUCGAAACUGGCAGGCUAGAGUCUUGUAGAGGGGGGUAGAAUUACAGGUGUAGCGGUGAAAUGCGUAGAGAUCUGGAGGAAUACCGGUGGCGAAGGCGGCCCCCUGGACAAAGACUGACGCUCAGGUGCGAAAGCGUGGGGAGCAAACAGG
rnacentral:rRNA from 1 species